rnacentral:rRNA from 1 species
UUUCGGGUCCAAACAGGCACACUCAAACUCAAGCCGCGCGCGGCCCGGUCGGUGUUGGGCAUUCAUUUGUGUGCACCACCAUAGCUUUCUAAGAAAGCUCCCUUUCAGUACGAGAGAAGUACUGGCAACGAAUAUCUUCUCCCUUGCGCGUCUGUUUGACUCCUUGGUCCGUGUUUCAAGACGGGUGAAGAUACCCCAUUUUCGAUGUCAAUAUUGAGCAUCACUGGAAACGAAUCGCGCUCGCUGCCGCAUCAACGAAUCGAUACGACAGUGCACAACACGUUCUUCCAGCUCAUUUCACCAAUCCCCAGAGUCUGCACUUGUUUGCCUACCGGGUUUUGAGGUCCAGCAGGAUAAUGCUUCUAGGGUGGUUUUGACCAAUGAAAUGGAGGCACUUUCAUUGUCAUUGUCACGACUUCAGGUUCUAUGUCACUCUCUCUCCAAAGUGCUUUUCAAACUUUCGCUCACGCUACUUGUUCGCUAUCGGUCUUCCUA